GGUCGAUUGGUCAAGGGGUUAAGACACCGCCUUUUCACGGCGGUAACACGGGUUCGAAUCCCGUAUCGACUA
rnacentral:tRNA from 3 species